rnacentral:misc_RNA from 1 species
AAAUGCGCUAAGUAAUGUGAAUUGCAGAAUUCCGUGAAUCAUCGAAUCUUUGAACGCACAUUGCGCCCUCUGGUAUUCCGGGGGGCAUGCCUGUCCGAGCGUCAUUGCGAACCCCUCAAGCACGGCUUGUGUGAUGGGCCCUCCCGCGUCUUGGUCGUCAAGACGGGCCCGAAAAGCAGUGGCGGCUUCGCGGCUAUCCGAUCAUCCAGAGCGUAUGGGGACUUUCUCUCUGUCACACGCCCGCGGCGCGGACCGACGCCUGUCGACCUUUAUUCAUCUUUUUCUCGGUUGACCUCGGAUCAGGUAGGGAUACCCGCUGAACUUAAGC